rnacentral:lncRNA from 1 species
GGUGAGCUGAGAUUGCGCCAUUGCACUCCAGCCUGGGCCACAAAGUGAAACUCCGUCUCAAAACAAAAACAAAAACAAAAACAAAAACAAAAAAACUCACUGAAUACAAACAACGUAUCUCCUUUCUUCCAAUUUUAAGUCUUUUUCUAGUAGCUCCUGCUGUGUACAUGUGGUUUGUUGUUAAUAUUGGCAUAUUACAGUAUUCUAAAUUAUUUUAUUUUCUUUUAGAAAGGGUCUCACUCUGUCACCCAGGCUGGAGUGCUGUGAUACAAACAUGGCUCAUUGCAGCCUCAACCUCCUGGGCUCAAGCAAUCCUCCAGCCUCAACCUUCCAAGUUGCUGGGACCACAGGCACAUGUUACCACACCCACCUAAUUUUUUUUAAAUUAUGUUAUUCACACUUUUUUUUAGGAUGAUUAGAGAUUAGGGCUCAGGAGCAGUGGAACAUAACUUUGAGGAAAUGCAAUAAGUUCAGAAGAAGAUGUGGUGACAAGAAAGCUGUAAGGAGGCUAUAUGCUGUAGAGAUAAAUGCCCAAGCUUUGGAAGCAAACAAGCCUCUGUUCAAAUCCUGGCUCUGCCCUUAUAACGUAUGUACAAAUUAUUAAAGUGCUUAGUACAGUGCCUAUCGUAUAACAGAUAUGUUGGCUCUCAUUACUUUUUCUUUCAACCCAUAUGUGGAAGCUUGCCCAGUGUGGAAGGUAUCAAUAAUUUGAAAACUGUAGCUUAGAGGUAGCUUUGGGAUAUAGUUAAUAAUAUGGUAUCAAAAACAUGUACUUCCUACUUAAUAAUUUGUUUGCAGGGAAUGUUGAAGAAAGAAUGUUGAACUCUUGAUUAGAUUUAGUAAUGGACUGUCAAAACAGUAACGCUUUCCAAUAAGUGACAAGAUCUGUAGCUGGAUUUGAAUGUGUGUGCUACUUGUUCUGUUCCAAGCACAUAAAAGGAAUUAUCUGUAUGGGCUCAGUUAUCCCACUGCCUUGUUAAGAGUCCAAAAUUGACACAGCUGUUACUAGAAGUUCUUAUCACUUUCUUUUUUUCAAGUAAAGAAUAGUGGAAAUAAUUAUUGACUGGGUGGUGUGUAGGAGAGCUUGGUUCUUCUUCUGGCCAUUUGUAGAAGGCAAGUUAAAUCUCUACAGGCUUUAUAGGUCAACCUCUACACUGAAAGUUUCUGUUUUUUUUUAUUUGUUUGUUUUUAAAGCUCUCACAUUGAAUAUUCUGAUAGGAGACUACAAGAAUCACGUCAGGGCUGAGAAAAAAAAUCUUGUUAGGAGAUAUUCAAUACAAACAAAUUGACAGGUCAAGAAAGCAUGGUGAAAUGAGCAUUAGACGAGGACUCACCUAUAGCUACCCUGUAAGUUGCAGAAUGAUAUAAAUUCUUCAUUUGCAGCUUGGGAAACUGAGGUGUAGAGAGAGUGAAAAUACUGGUCAGCCCUACUUUCUCCUUAGAGCUUUUCAAGAUUCAAAUGAAAUGCCAGAUGUGGAAAUAACUUACUUUUAUGUUACUCAAUAGUCUUCAGGUUACUACUACUGGGUCUGCAAUUGCAUGUUAUGAUUUAAAACUUCCUUCUAGGCAUUGCAAUUUUUUAAACUUAGCCAAAUUUAUUUGAACAAAUCCAGUCUUUUAGAUUCUGUCAUAGUCAUACCCAAAUUUGUGGCAUUUCUCUUGUAUGUAUAGAUGUGCUUCACACUCAUCUGACAUCCCAUCAGUUGUUUUAUGACUCCACUUCCAGUUUGCCUACAGUAAACAAAAGCAUAUCUAUUUACAAAGUUUUUAUCUGUCCUUAUAAACUUUUGCUGAUCAAAUGCUGGUGAAAGCUUUAUAGAGACAACUAGUUUAUAGUAAGGAACCAAAUAAACAGUCACAGGAAGUAUUUUCCUAAGGACCUAAGUUUUACCUCACCAAGGCAGAAGAUUAAUCAAAUUAGCUGUUCUGCCCCUAGCUGAGAUGAGUAUUUGUUACUUCAGAGUUAAAAAAUAAAAGAAACAAGUAAGCAAUAAAUACAGUCUUGGGUUGCUUGUGUAUGGGGGAAAAUGACCUUCGAAACCCUAUAGUAACUGUUUAGCCCUAAGGCAAAAUAUUUGAUUAUAAUAAUCAUCUUAAUAUUCAUUAGUAACUGCAAAAUUAGGCACUAGUAAUUCAUCAAGCUACAGCAUUUAAAACCAGGACCUUAGGAGGCUGUCUUGCUUGCAUAUUUCUAAAGAAUUCAAUCCUUUUCGUUUAUCUUAAAUGUAGACUCUCACUUCUUGUUCUCACAAAAUUUUAGAAGUUCUCACUUCCAAAAUUCUCCUAUAUUUAAAAAAACUAUGAGACUGGUUAUAAAUAGAAGAAUGGACAAAAUGACAAGAACCACCUACCCACUAAAUCUUGUCAUGUGAUGUUCCUUGUAGAUCAUACUUACACCUUCUCUGAUCAUUAAUUAUGACCCAGUUCAAAGAAUGCUGCAGGUUCAGCACAGUUCCUUAUAUCCACAACUAAUUUCCCAACCUUUCUCAAAUUUCCACUCCAAUCUUAACUCUAUUUAUGAAAUAUGUAUAUUUUGGAUAGCAAAUUAAAAUUUAUUUUUUAUACUAAACUCAAUACCAACCCCCCUCUAAGAGCUGUAGCUCUUUCUUCCCUGGUGUCCAGGAGGCAAAACCUUGGCUGCUUUUCAGUGGCUGCUUGUUUUCCUUAGGUAUUAUAUCAAGCUUUCUGAAAUUCCAAGUAAACUACAUUUGCUUUGUUAGCCUUUCCAAAGCAUUUAAAAUGAUUCCAACGCUUUGAUUUUCCUUAAAUGGGAUUAGCAACCACUUGAUUUGAUAAAAUUAGAUGCUUCAUUAGUUUCUUUGGAACUGAAGAUAAGCUCAACUGCUUUCAAUGUCAGAGAGUUCUGAGCUUUAAUCUUAAUUUACAACAUGAAUAUGAAAACAUGAAAAAAGAAAGUUGUAAAAGGAAGCCAAGGAAGACUGUAUUUGCGGAAGGGUUUUUGAUUAUUUCAGUAAUUGCUGAAUUGUGGGGGGGGGGGUGGGUGGGUGGCAUAAUGAACCCAUCAUUUAUCACUAAUUUAUAAUUAAACUGAUUCUGAAAUUAGACUUUAGUAGCCAAAACUAAAGGCGACAAACUGAUGCCACUGCUAUUUUAGGAUUCCUUAUUUCUCACAAAGCUAUAUAAAUACUUGACUAAUGGGAUUACUUCUUAAUUGAGCUAGUUUCAAUUUUCAGGUCAAGAUUACUUAAAAUUUACUACACGUUACUAACAUUAUACAGGUGGACAGUAUUUCUUGUUAGUUAAAAUGUGGUUAAUCUGCAAACCACAAAUACAGCUCCUAUAAUUUCUUGCCUCUAGGUCCUCAAAUAAUUUCAAGGCUUUGUGUAAGGGCCCUGAAUCUUAGGUCCAGGUCUACCACUUCAGCCUAUGAGGUGAAUUAAGCCUUGUAUGUCUCUCUAGAUGUUGGAAGAAAAUAAUUCAUCCGUGGCUGUGCAGAAAUCCAUAGCUUUACAUGCUUACUUCCAACCAAAACACAUUUAUAAAGUAUGUGCAUGUUGCUAACCUUCUAGCUCUAAUUCCUCUGUCCCUUUAAGUGGAUGUUCUGAAAAUAACAACCAUUCACUUUGUCAUUUACUGUUCUGUAAAACACAAGGCAGAGGCCCAGGAACAGGGGCCCCAUCAGGAGCAGUGUUGUUUCUUCCAAAAUCUCACUUUAUUCUAGGUUGCCAUUACAGACAGUAAAAUAUAUUUAUGUGGCUCAAGUGUGACUUAACUCUGUAAAUUAUAUUGGGUCCUGGAAUGGCUUAAAGGCUCUUAUGGCCUAUUAUAUUUACUUCUGUUUAUACAAAUUGGUAAGAACCUACUGUAUUCUGGCUCUGAGCCCCCUCUAAGUUCCUUCCAUUUACAGUCACUUUUAUCAAAGAUAUAUUUUUACACCAAAGAUCCCUGGACAGUAUCAAUAAGGAAAAGGAAGGAAUAAUAGCCCAUUACAUUUUAUAUUCUCUUGUUCCCAACAAGCAUAAGAAAAAGCAGUUAUCUCUUUUUGAGUUGGUAGUUUAGAAUUUCCAGGAAUGCAGUGUUUUGGAAGAUGGAAGAACUCAUAACUAGUUGCUUUCAAGAGAAACUCUAGAUAAAGUAUUGCAUUAUUCUGCCCAUCUGCUUCUGGUGCAUUCCAUUUUAGCCACAGGCAAAGUAGAAAACUAGGUAGGGUUUGAGCCUUUCUGUUUAUCAUAUUUUAAAAGUUAAUCCAAAGGCAAUUCUUAAAAGAUGAACUAAAAAUGAAGUGUACCAAAACUCCAACCCACGCUUUACAAACGCCAAAAUGAGAAAUGUUCUACGAGGGAGACGUGAUGUAAUAACACAUGAGCUGGGUCUGGCCUCAGACGGCCUAAGGUCCAUUACAAGCUGUAGAGCUUUGGCUUGAAGAAACAAAGACAGCCAUCUCUAAACCUCGGUUUCUCUAAAAUGGUACUGUACCUCGCACAGUUGUCGAGAAUUCAAAUCCCAUACCCUAUGUAUAUCAGCCUGUCCAUAAUUAGUCACCCUGAGAAACUUUGCUUUCCUGGUCUAGACAGAAUGAAAGAAACUGAGUCUGGACCCUGCCCUGUAUAUGAAUUAGAAUUUGUGUGCUUUAAGCUGCCCUCCCAGGGCACACCAUGGUAAAGAGCAGGGAGCCUAGCUUGACUGUGUAGGUUCGGCUGGAUUAUUUUAAGCGUAUCAUUCACUCCCUCAGUGAAGUGAGGGAGUUAGACUAAAACACCUCUUGAUAUCUCUUCUAGCUUUAAAAUUCUACGCAAUCCACGGGGGAAGAAAUUCAAGAAACCUUGCAUACAUCAAAACACCAAAAACCCCACUUUCCUUAAAAAUGGUUUACAACGAACAGAUCACCAUCCCUGACAUUUCAGGUUUUGCAGUUCACAGUUCACAGUACGGAGGAAUGGGCUAAGUCACACUACAGCAGGCUCCCCUCCACGUCUAACAGAGGGGGCGGGGGGUUUUCUUGGAAGACUCGGCCAGUGUCAGGCAGCAAGGGGUAAGGGCUGUCUCGGUGGAGAAAGAAACCCAGGCUUCCGGGAACAUAAACUGGGGGAUGUAGGGGCAAAGCACCUGCUAAAUCUCGUUAGGGUUGGGACUUCAAAGAGGGUUGGGCCUGCUCUGAGAAACAGUGUGGGAAUCCCAGCCCCGACCUAAAGGCGACACGUUCACUGCCAAGGACUCAGAGGGAAAGCAGGGAGCGGGGAAUGGACGCGGGAGGUGGAUGCGAGAAAAAGGCCGAGUAGGGCCCCAGCCCCGGUCACUCACCACGAGCGGGAUGGAGCAGAUGAGCACCACCAGGGAGGUGGCAAUGAGUAAGAUGACCAUCUGGAUCUCGGCGCCCGCGAUGCGGCGGAAGCUCCGGCGGCGCCGAAAGUCGCUGAGGCGCGAAUGAGGAAGGAGCUGAAGCCC